rnacentral:rRNA from 1 species
GAUGAACGCUGGCGGCGUGCCUAAUACAUGCAAGUCGAGCGAACAGACGAGGAGCUUGCUCCUCUGACGUUAGCGGCGGACGGGUGAGUAACACGUGGAUAACCUACCUAUAAGACUGGGAUAACUUCGGGAAACCGGAGCUAAUACCGGAUAAUAUAUUGAACCGCAUGGUUCAAUAGUGAAAGACGGUUUUGCUGUCACUUAUAGAUGGAUCCGCGCCGCAUUAGCUAGUUGGUAAGGUAACGGCUUACCAAGGCGACGAUGCGUAGCCGACCUGAGAGGGUGAUCGGCCAGACUGGAACUGAGACACGGUCCAGACUCCUGCGGGAGGCAGCAGUAGGGAAUCUUCCGCAAUGGGCGAAAGCCUGACGGAGCAACGCCGCGUGAGUGAUGAAGGUCUUCGGAUCGUAAAACUCUGUUAUUAGGGAAGAACAAAUGUGUAAGUAACUAUGCACGUCUUGACGGUACCUAAUCAGAAAGCCACGGCUAACUACGUG